AGGGUUCGAUUCUGGCUCAGGAUGAACGCUAGCGACAGGCUUAACACAUGCAAGUCGAGGGGCAGCACGGGAGUAGCAAUACAACUGGGUGGCGACCGGCGCACGGUGAGUAACGCGUAUGCAACCUACCUAUCAGAGGGGAAUAACCCGGCGAAAGUCGGACUAAUACCGCAUAAAACAGGGGCACCGCAUGGUGAUAUUUGUUAAAGAAAUUCGCUGAUAGAUGGGCAUGCGUUCCAUUAGGUAGUUGGUGAGGUAACGGCUCACCAAGCCGACGAUGGAUAGGGGAACUGAGAGGUUGGUCCCCCACACUGGUACUGAGACACGGACCAGACUCCUACGGGAGGCAGCAGUGAGGAAUAUUGGUCAAUGGGCGGGAGCCUGAACCAGCCAAGUCGCCGUGAAGGAAGAAGGAUCUAUGGUUCGUAAACUUCUUUUGCAGGGGAAUAAAGUGCAGGACGUGUCCUGUUUUGUAUGUACCCUGAGAAUAAGGAUCGGCUAACUCCGUGCCAGCAGCCGC
rnacentral:rRNA from 1 species